GAUGAACGCUGGCGGCGUGCCUAAUACAUGCAAGUCGAGCGAAUGGAUUAAGAGCUUGCUCUUAUGAAGUUAGCGGCGGACGGGUGAGUAACACGUGGGUAACCUGCCCAUAAGACUGGGAUAACUCCGGGAAACCGGGGCUAAUACCGGAUAACAUUUUGAACCGCAUGGUUCGAAAUUGAAAGGCGGCUUCGGCUGUCACUUAUGGAUGGACCCGCGUCGCAUUAGCUAGUUGGUGAGGUAACGGCUCACCAAGGCAACGAUGCGUAGCCGACAGGAGAGGGUGAUCGGCCACACUGGGACUGAGACACGGCCCAGACUCCUACGGGAGGCAGCAGUAGGGAAUCUUCCGCAAUGGACGAAAGUCUGACGGAGCAACGCCGCGUGAGUGAUGAAGGCUUUCGGGUCGUAAAACUCUGUUGUUAGGGAAGAACAAGUGCUAGUUGAAUAAGCUGGCACCUUGACGGUACCUGCAGAAGAAGCACCGGCUAACUACGUGCCAGCAGCCGCCGUAA
rnacentral:rRNA from 1 species